rnacentral:rRNA from 1 species
UGGCGGACGGGUGAGUAACGCGUGGGUAACCUACCUCAUACAGGGGGAUAACAGUUGGAAACGACCGCUAAUACCGCAUAACCCGCUAGUAUCGCAUGAUACGGACGGAAAAGAUUUAUCGGUAUGAGAUGGACCCGCGUCUGAUUAGCCAGUUGGCAGGGUAACGGCCUACCAAAGCGACGAUCAGUAGCCGGCCUGAGAGGGUGAACGGCCACAUUGGGACUGAGACACGGCCCAAACUCCUACGGAAGGCAGCAG